rnacentral:rRNA from 1 species
UACGAGGGGAGCAAGCGUUGUUCGGAUUUACUGGGCGUAAAGGGCGCGUAGGCGGUCGUGACAAGUCACUUGUGAAAUCUCCGGGCUUAACUCGGAACGGUCAGAUGAUACUGCUUUGCUAGAGUGCGGAAGGGGCAAUCGGAAUUCUUGGUGUAGCGGUGAAAUGCGUAGAUAUCAAGAGGAACACCUGAGGUGAAGACGGGUUGCUGGGCCGACACUGACGCUGAUAGCGCGAAAGCCAGGGGAGCAAACGGG